rnacentral:sRNA from 1 species
AUUGAGUUAAAGAUGAACCCAGGAACAAACAUUAAUUGCUAACGUACAUUGAUGCUCAAGAAGUGUUGAUCUUGUUUAUUCACGAAGUUUGGAACCAAUAUAAGCAUUAUCGUAUAAGUAAUGAAGUUUUAAAGAAUUUUUUUGCUAUAACACACUAUGAUCUUCAGUAUGUUCGAAAUCAACUUUGUUUUUUAUAUAGAAACCCAGAAAUUUUUAUUUCCAAUUUUGUUGGUUGAAAAUUCUAAAUGUAUAAAUAUUUAUGUUUAUAAGUGUGUAUAUCAAAAUUCUAUUUGUUUUUGUAGAUAUAAUCAUGUUUUCAGUUGCAUUUAAUGAGUUUUUCCUGAAUUUAUGAUGCACUUGGGUAAUGGAUAUUUCCGUAUUUACUAUGGUCGGUGAGUGGAGAUGCAAAGAAGAAAAAUGAAAAUUUGAAUCAAAGGAAGACAUGUUUCGUCACUGUGUACGUGUUAAGGAAAACAUGACGUACACGGAAUUUGUACGUACACUAAGCGAGGCUUUCAGUUUGAAGUCCACAGAGAUCAAUCCCAUAAUUAGUUACUGGAUGCCAGGAGAGAUGUUAGUGAUGAUAGAUACUAAACGUCUUCCUGUCUACAUUGACAGUCAAGUGGGGUUGGAUACGUUCUUUUUGAUUCGUGGUCGGUAUCCUUCUCUCAACUUGUUUGUCCGUCAAGACACUCGGGAAUAAUGUCUUUAGGACUCAUGGUGACGAUGCUGAAAGUGACCGUGUGUGUGAUAGUGUUUCAAAUGUUGAUGAAAAUAAUGAGACCGUAGAUGAGCAAGACGACGUUGAAGACGAUAAAACAGAUGAGGAUGAAGAGGAGGGGGACAACAAAGAUGGUGAUGGGUAUGAUGAUUAUCAGGGUGACGAUGGAUCUAUGGGGGAAAGUACCCUCGAUCCUACUAUUGAUGGUAAUGAAAGUACUGGCGAAGAUUAUGAUUACAACAAGUGGAACGAUAUAAUUGUAAAAGAAUAUGGAAUAUGGAAUGUUGAGGAGAACGUCAUUCUCACACAACUGACUAUUCAACAUCCAGGGAAAUUCAGUCGUUUGUUGGCAGAGUGUACGUACACAAGUCAGCGUGUACCUGGCGAAGAUAACAUUUCUCACUCGGGUGACCAUACACCAGUUGUGACUCCAAGAAGUAUGUGUCAACAUGGUUUGUACCAUUGUACGUACACUAUAGAUUGGGAAGUGUUUUUAAAAACAGAAAAGUCAUACAACAAACAAUGUCUUAUCUUGCAAUCAAACAAUCUUUUUGCUACAAGCAACCUAGGUCAUGUCCUACAAGAUUGGAGAUGGUUUGCGUUGAUGAUACUUGUCCAUGACAUUUGACAGCUCAAGCCACUGACAUUUGUCCAUGAAUUUAAAAUGUUUCAAAAUCACAUCGUAUGAACGUUUUAAAAUAUAUCUCAGCUACUGCCAAUAUUAGUUUAAUAUUGUAUU